rnacentral:rRNA from 1 species
GAUGAACGCUGGCGGCGUGCCUAAUACAUGCAAGUCGAGCGAACUUUUGGUAGCUUCCUCCCAAAAGUUAGCGCCGGACGGGUGAGUAACACGUGUGUAACCUGCCUUUAAUACUGGGAUAACUUCGGGAAACCGGAGCUAAUACCGGAUAACAUUUAAGACCACAUUGCCUUCAAUUAAAAGUUGGCUUUUACCUACCACUUACAGAUGGACCCGCGGCGCAUUAUCUAGUUGGUGAGGUAACGGCUCACCAAGGCGAAGAUGCGUAGCCGACCUGAUAGGGAGAUCGGGCAAAAUGGGAAUGGGACACGGCCCAGAAACAUAAGGGAGGCAGGAGUAGGGAAAGUUCCGAAAUGGAGGAAAGUCUGAAGGGACAAAGACGCGUGAGCGAAGAAGGGCUUCGGGUCGUAAAGCUCUGUUGUUAGGGAAGAAAAAGUAUCGUUCGAAUAGGGCGGUACCUUGACGGUACCUAACCAGAAAGCAACGGCUAACUACGUG